GACGAACGCUGGCGGCGUGCUUAACACAUGCAAGUCGAACGCUGAAGCUCAGCUCUUGCUGGGCGGAUGAGUGGCGAACGGGUGUGUAACACGUGAGUAACCUGCCCCUUUCUUUGGGAUAACGCUUGGAAACGGGUGCUAAUACUGGAUAUACUCUGUUCAUCGCCUGGGGUCUGGUGUGAAGGGCUUUUUUGGUGGGGGUUGGGGUAGCGGCCUAUCCGCUUGUUGGUGGGGUGAUGGCCUACCAUUGCUUUGACGGGUAGCCGUCCUGAGAGGGUGACCGGGAACAUUGGGACUGAGAUACGGCCCAGGGUCGUACGCGAGGCAGCAGUGGGGAAUAUUGCACAAUGGGUGCAAGACUGAUGCAGCGUGGGCGAGUGAGGGAUGGGGGUCUUCAAGUUGUGAAACUCUGUCAGAAAUGGUCAGGCCGCAACAAUGGUUGUGGUGAGGGUAGUGGGUAAAGAAGCGCCGGCUAACUACGUG
rnacentral:rRNA from 1 species